UGCCGAACUUUACGAAUGAAUCUUUGUUCUUCAAUUUGAAUCUUUUCUUCAAAACUUCCGCGAUCAACUCUUCAAAACUCUAAUCAACUUUACGAAAUUCGCCAACCUAUAAAAUCCUUAACAUAAGUUACCCAAUCUCAUGGUGAACUCGAAGUUCACAAGCAUGACUCACGUGUAAGUCUCAUAGGGAAAGUCUCACUGAACUACUCUCGAGACCGCCUGCGGACAGCACACAGACCGUCCAGACAGCACACUGACUGUCCCUCUAGUGACCAACCUCCGGA
rnacentral:lncRNA from 1 species